rnacentral:rRNA from 1 species
UUGGACUCAACGCCGAAACGUCACCGGGGCGACAGCAAUAUGUAGGUCAAGCUAAAGACUUUACCAGAAUCGCUGAGAGGAGGUGCAUGGCCGUCGUCAGUUCGUACUGUGAAGCAUCCUGUUAAGUCAGGCAACGAGCGAGACCCGUGCCCACUGUUGCCAGCAUGUCCUUCGGGAUGAUGGGUACUCUGUGGGACCGCCGAUGCUAAAUCGGAGGAAGGUGCGGGCUACGGUAGGUCAGUAUGCCCCGAAUCUCCCGGGCUACACGCGGGCUACAAUGACUGGGACAAUGGGCUCCUACCCCGAAAGGGGAUGGUAAUCUCAUAAACCCAGCCUUAGUUCGGAUCGAGGGCUGUAACCCGCCCUCGUGAAGCUGGAAUCCGUAGUAAUCGCGUUUCAACAUAGCGCGGUGAAUACGUCCCUGCUCCUU